rnacentral:rRNA from 1 species
UACAGAGGUCUCAAGCGUUGUUCGGAUUCAUUGGGCGUAAAGGGUGCGUAGGCGGCGCGGUAAGUCGGGUGUGAAAUCUUGGAGCUUAACUCCGAAACUGCAUUCGAUACUGCCGUGCUUGAGGACUGGAGAGGAGACUGGAAUUCAUGGUGUAGCAGUGAAAUGCGUAGAGAUCAUGAGGAAGACCAGUGGCGAAGGCGGGUCUCUGGGCCGAUACUGACGCUGAGGAGCGAAAGCGUGGGGAGCGAACAGG